rnacentral:misc_RNA from 1 species
GGCCGGCGGAGUCUUACAUACGGAUAUUGUUACUUUAAGGUCCGUGGCUUCUAUGAAAGUCCCAGUGGAAAUUAUAGAAAAUCCAAAUGAUAGUUGGAAGUAUAGCAGCCACACGCAGCACCAAGCUUGACUGACUUUUCAAAGUCUUUGCUUUGCUUUUCUCUCUCAAUUUCUUCUUUAGUCUCUUCUUCAAAGUCUGCAUGGCUGGUUGAUGCUCUUUCCCUGCUUUUCUCUGCUUGGGAAUUUCGCAACUCCAACUUACCGGUCUUGUUUAUUGAAAUGGCUAGUAAUGACAAGGAUAAGGUGCCCAUGCUGUCAGAUGUGCAUCCCCAAUUAUUGGAUGAAAAUGUGGAUUCUCGAUAUCAGGCAUUUACUUCCAGGAAUAGGAGUGUGUCAAUUUCUAUUCCUACAAAUUCCAUGGAGUCCUAUGAAAAUGAAGCCAACCUUGUUGGCUAUACUGGUCCAUUACGUAGUGAAAGAAGAGCUCCAUUGAUACAGAUGAGUGGCCCAAUCUAUACCAAUCGUAAAGCUGAAAACGUUUUUCAAUUAAAUCCUGGCGUAACAGGUCGCAAAAUAGUAGCACCCAAGGCUGAAAAAUUUCCAUCUUUUAAUGGGAUGGAUCAGCGUGAUUGGAGAGAUGACAACUAUGCUGGUAAAAAUGAACAUUUAUUGAGGUCUGGCCAAUUGGGAGUGUGCAAUGAUCCUUAUUGCACAACAUGCCCAACAUAUUACAAUUUCAAACCAGCGCAGCAGAAACAUUCAAAAGCUUCAGCUAUGUUUGACUCCAAGUUCCAUAAUGCUCUUUAUGGGGAUGCUAAAGGUUGGGCAAGAAAAUUUGUAUCUUUUCUAAAUCCAUAUAUUCCUGGAGUUAUCAAUCCUCAUACUAAAGUUGUUCAACAGUGGAACAAAUUUUUUGUCAUUUCUUGCUUGGUGGCAAUUUUUGUGGACCCCCUGUUUUUCUUCUUGCUGUCUGUGCAAAAGGAUUAUAAGUGCAUAGUCAUUAACUGGCCCAUGACUAAAACAAUUGUAAUUUUUAGGAGCUUGACUGAUUUCGUAUACUUGUUGAACAUACUUCUUCAGUUUAGGUUGGCUUAUGUGGCUCCUGAAUCUAGAGUGGUUGGUGCUGGAGAAUUAGUCGACCAUCCAAAGAAAAUUUCCAUGAACUACCUCCGUGGUUAUUUUUUUCUUGACUUAUUUAUUGUAUUACCACUUCCUCAAAUUAUGAUAUUAUUGGUCAUACCGGAUUUCUUGGGAUCAUCUGGUGCAAAUUAUGCCAAAAACCUUUUAAGGGCAGCGGUUCUUGUCCAAUACAUUCCCAGGUUGUACAGGUUUCUACCUCUUCUUGUUGGUGUUUCUCCUAGUGGCUUCAUAUUUGAGACAGCAUGGGCAAACUUUUUCAUAAAUCUUCUCACCUUUAUGUUGGCUGGUCACGUUGUUGGAUCAGGCUGGUACCUCUUUGGGUUACAGAGGGUUAAUCAAUGUCUCCGUGAUGCUUGCCAUCAUUCUGAUAUUAAGGACGUGUGUAUGAAUUUCAUAGAUUGUGGGCAUGGGAACGAGUUAGUGAAAUUUGGUUCCUACAAAAAUUGGUCAUCCUGGGAAGAAAAUGAAAAUGCUACUGCUUGUUUCACAGAAGACGGUUUUUCAUAUGGAAUCUAUCUUCAAGCUGUCAACCUCACAACAAAGCAUAGUAUUGUCACCAGAUAUGUAUAUUCACUGUUUUGGGGAUUCCAGCAAAUCAGUACUCUUGCUGGAAACCUGACACCCAGUUAUUUUGUUUGGGAAGUUCUCUUCACAAUGGCCAUAGUUGGACUUGGCCUUUUGCUCUUUGCUUUUCUCAUAGGAAAUAUACAGAACUUUCUCCAGGCUCUUGUUCGGAGGAGGCUAGAAAUGUCACUAAGACGACGUGAUGUUGAGCAAUGGAUGAGCCAUCGACGCUUGCCACAAGAACUUAGAAGGAAAGUACUGGAAGCUGAACGUUAUAAUUGGGCUGCAACCAGAGGAGUAAAUGAAGGAAUGCUCUUGGAGAAUUUGCCUGAAGACCUCCAGAGGGAUAUAAGGCGGCACCUCUUCAAAUUUGUUAAGAAAGUUUGGAUUUUUGCAUUGAUGGAUGACCAUGUCUUGGAUGCCAUUUGUGAGAGACUAAAACAAAAGAUAUACAUCAAGGGAAGUGAAAUUUUGUAUCAUGGUGGUCUGGUUGAGAAGAUGGUUUUUAUCGUGCGUGGAAAACUGGAAAGUAUUGGAGAAGAUGGAACUGUAAUUCCGUUGUCUGAAGGGAAUGUCUGUGGUGAGGAACUUCUCACUUGGUGUCUAGAGCAUUCUUCAGUUAGCAAAGAUGGAAAGAAAUUCAAGAUUCCAGGACAGCGACUGCAUAGCAGCAGGACAGUUAGAUGCUUGACAAAUGUGGAAGCAUUUUCACUUCGUGCUGCAGACCUUGAAGAAGUAACGAAUAUCUUUGCGAGAAGCUUGCGAAAUCUGCGUGUUCAAGGAGCCAUAAGGUAUGAAUCUCCCUACUGGAGAGGGCUUGCGGCAACUCGCAUUCAAGUUGCUUGGAGAUACAGGCAGAAGCGUCUAAAGCGUAUCAGCACCUCUCAGUCAAAUCAGUUUACAGACUAGAUGGCUUUGUUUUAUAAAUAUAUGAACAUCUAUGCACAUGUGAUUUGUAUAUGAUCAACCUACGUAGCAAGAGCAUCACCUAUUAUUGUAAAUUCUUAUGGCUUAAUUUGAUUUGGGUUGCGUUUGGAUGACUGAAUUUAAAUUUACCAUUUAAAAUUCCUUUAUUUGAAAAUUUAUCCUUAAUUGUGC